UACGUAGGGUGCAAGCGUUGUCCGGAGUUAUUGGGCGUAAAGAGCUCGUAGGCGGUUCGUCGCGUCGGCUGUGAAAACCUGAGGCUCAACCUCAGGCCUGCAGUCGAUUCGGGCGGACUUGAGUACUGCAGGGGAGACUGGAAUUCCUGGUGUAGCGGUGAAAUGCGCAGAUAUCAGGAGGAACACCGGUGGCGAAGGCGGGUCUCUGGGCAGUAACUGACGCUGAGGAGCGAAAGCGUGGGGAGCGAACAGG
rnacentral:rRNA from 1 species